rnacentral:rRNA from 1 species
AGCAGCCGCGGUAAUUCCAGCUCCAAUAGCGUAUAUUAAAGUUGUUGCAGUUAAAAAGCUCGUAGUUGAAUUUCGGGGUUAGUAGGUUGGUCAUGCCUCUGGUAUGUACUGGUCUCACUGAUUCCUCCUUCCUGAUGAGCCGUAAUGCCAUUAAUUUGGUGUUGCAGGGAAUCUGGACUGUUACUUUGAAAAAAUUAGAGUGUUUAAAGCAGGCUAACGCCUGAAUACAUUAGCAUGGAAUAAUGAAAUAGGACGUUCGAUCCUAUUUUGUUGGUUUCUAGGAUUGACGUAAUGAUUAAUAGGGAUAGUUGGGGGCAUUAGUAUUCAAUUGUCAGAGGUGAAAUUCUUGGAUUUAUUGAAGACUAACUACUGCGAAAGCAUUUGCCAAGGAUGUUUUCAUUAAUCAAGAACGAAAGUUAGGGGAUCGAAGACGAUCAGAUACCGUCGUAG